rnacentral:rRNA from 1 species
UACAGGGGGUGCUAGCGUUGUUCGGAAUCAUUGGGCGUAAAGGGCGUGUAGGCGGUUUGUUAAGUCAAGUGGGAAAUCCCUCGGCUUAACCGGGGAACGACGCAUGAAACUGGCAAGCUAGAGUACCAAAGAGGGGGGUGGAAUUCCCGGUGUAGCGGUGAAAUUCGUAGAUAUUGGGAAGAACACCGGUGGCGAAGGCGGCUCUCUGGACCGAGACUGACGCUGAGGCGCGAAAGCGUGGGGAGCAAACAGG